GUUGUAACUCUUGUUGAUCGG
rnacentral:siRNA from 1 species